CCCUUAGAUGUUCUGGGCCGCACGCGCGCUACACUGAUGCAUUCAACGAGCCUAUCCUUGACCUACAGGUCCGGGUAAUCUUUGAAUCUGCAUCGUGACGGGGAUAGAUUAUUGCAAUUAUUAAUCUUCAACGAGGAAUGCCUAGUAGGCGCAAGUCAUCAGCUUGCGUCGAUUACGUCCCUGCCCUUUGUACACACCGCCCGUCGCUCCUACCGAUUGGGUGUGCUGGUGAAAUGUUCGGAUCGGCCGUUUGUCGCGGUUUCCGCGGCUCGUGGCUGAGAAGUUCAUUAAACCCUCCCACCUAGAGGAAGGAGAAGUCGUAACA
rnacentral:rRNA from 1 species